AGCUCCAAUAGCGUAUAUUUAAGUUGUUGCAGUUAAAAAGCUCGUAGUUGGAUUUCGGGUGGGUUUCAGCGGUCCGCCUAUGGUGAGCACUGCUGUGGCCUUCCUUACUGUCGGGGACCUGCUUCUGGGCUUCAUUGUCCGGGACAGGGAUUCGGCAUGGUUACUUUGAGUAAAUUAGAGUGUUCAAAGCAGGCUUACGCCGUGAAUACUUUAGCAUGGAAUAACACGAUAGGACUCUGCCCUAUUCUGUUGGCCUGUAGGAGUGGAGUAAUGAUUAAGAGGAACAGUCGGGGGCAUUCGUAUUUCAUUGUCAGAGGUGAAAUUCUUGGAUUUAUGAAAGACGAACUACUGCGAAAGCAUUUGCCAAGGAUGUUUUCAUUA
rnacentral:rRNA from 1 species